rnacentral:rRNA from 1 species
AAGAUUCCUUGAGAUCACUUGGCUCGGGGGUCGAUGAAGAUCGCAGCUAGCUGCGAGUCGGAUAUACCAAUCAUAGCUAUUAUGAGGCAUUUCUAUUGGCAGUUUGGCAUACUAAAGCAGUUAUUAUUAUUUAAUCAGUUGAUCUAUUUGUUUUUUUCUGGAGAAGGAUUUUUCUCUCACUUAGUUUCA